CUUCCGGGACGGGGCAGGGCGCUGGCGGCUGUAACUGGAGGUGGUGAAGCCUGUCGUUUCAGGAAAGUGUGCUGGGAGCUGUGGACAGCUCUGACCCAACUUACACUUGGAAGCUCGCUCUCAUGAGAGGAGGACGGACCGCCGUCAUGCGGGACAGUAGUUCCCACCUGCUGCCUGGCUCGGAGCUGCCGGCUGGAGGCAGAGGCCUCCGCCUCUCUCAGUGCAGGAGAUCUCGGAAGCAGAGAUCUCGGCGGAGGCCUUGGGAGGGGCUGGGGCCAGAGCCCUGCCCCCGCUAGGACGCCCCGCUCGCCGCCCCCGCCCGGACGCCCCGCUCACCGCACAUCAACAGCAUGAGCCCCAGCAGCAUGAGGACCAGGUCAGGGACCGUCACUGGAGAUGUUUUCUCAUCGGAGGAAGACUCCAGCUCAGAGGCGAGAGGCAGCGAGCGGCGUGUCAGAGAGCGAGGACGUCACGCUGCAGCACGUCUACAGAAAUAGAAGGAAGAACUCGAGCGCUCGGAAGGCCCACCUCUAUUUCCUGUCCUGUGGGGACCCGGACGGGCCUAGAUGCUCCUUUCUGUAUUUGGCUCAGUGUCCGUGACCUGGAGACGGUGCACGUUAGCGCCUCAGGGCCUCCCUCCCGAGCUCAGGGUCCCCUCGACGGAGCUUUCCCAGAGGCAGUUUCUGACUGAGCGUUCCUCAGACCAGGGCCCUGUGGAAGUUCAAGGCGUGUUUCCCUCAUUGGGAAGGGUGUCCCCGGGCCCGUGUCAGCGCCUCACGUGCUCUGGUGCCUGCACGUGUGGUCGCUCUGGGCGUGAGCGUCCAAGCCAGGGACCACGGGGCUGCCGCUGGCCGCCUGCAGGGUCGAAGAGCCAUCUCGGAGGAUUUGCACAGAGCCAGAUAUUUGUAAGAAACUGGCUCUUGUAUUUAAACUUCAGGGUGUAGCAGUCAGUGAACCAGAGACAAGAAAAACAGAAUCACAGGAAGUUAGGGCCUGGGGGGAUGUUUCUGAGUGAAAGACAGGAAACAGGCAUAUGCAAAUUAGCCUCUGGGCUUUUGGGGACCCUCUCCCUUAGCUCUAGGCCUGGCACUGAUGACCCCGUUCCUCCCCUCCCCCAAGUCAGCACCAUCACUGCCGUGAGCACUGUGGGGGUCCCAGUCCUGGUCACCAGAGCCGGCAUGGAAUUCAGAUUGUGGUGAGAGGGGAACCCAUCGUAGUUUCCAACGUUCUUGAGUCUUUGGGUGUCUAGGGUUAAGAAGGACCCAACAAGGUGUGGGAGCAAAGCUCGUAGGAGACAUGGCAAGACCCCAUUGAGUGAUGACAUCCAAGUCCAAGUGUCCAGUCGGAAGAGACGUGAGAAGAGAAGCAGGGGUCAGGGUGGCCAGAGAUAAGCCUCCUGGAGGAAGAGGGAGCAGUGUUGGGGGUUGACCGAAGCCCCCGGCCUCCCAGAGAGGAGACAGUGGGCCCCCUGAUGUUGCUUGCUGGCUCGGGAGAGCCUGUGCUUAGAUUUUCAGGAGGCUUCACCCUCACUGUGGAACACGGAGUCCUCUCGGCCCCGCAUGCAAGCCGUGUGUGCGCACACCUGCAGCCUCACACUGCCCGUGCUGGGUGCCAGCCUUCACACUGCCCGUGCUGGGUGCCAGCCUUCACACUGCCCGUGCUGGGUGCCAGCCUUCACACUGCCCCUGCUGGGUGCCAGCCUUCACACUGCCCGUG